rnacentral:rRNA from 1 species
AACGAACGCUGGCGGCAGGCUUAACACAUGCAAGUCGAACGCCCUCUUCGGAGGGAGUGGCAGACGGGUGAGUAACACGUGGGAACGUGCCCUUUGGUUCGGAACAACUCCGGGAAACUGGAGCUAAUACCGGAUACGCCCUUCGGGGGAAAGAUUUAUCGCCAAAGGAUCGGCCCGCGUCUGAUUAGCUAGUUGGUAGGGUAAUGGCCUACCAAGGCGACGAUCAGUAGCUGGUCUGAGAGGAUGGCCAGCCACACUGGGACUGAGACACGGCCCAGACUCCUACGGGAGGCAGCAGUGGGGAAUAUUGGACAAUGGGCGAAAGCCUGAUCCAGCCAUGCCGCGUGAGUGAUGAAGGCCUUAGGGUUGUAAAGCUCUUUCGCCGAGGACGAUAAUGACGGUACUCGGAUAAGAAGCCCCGGCUAACUUCGUGCCAGCCGCCGCAGUAACAC